rnacentral:rRNA from 1 species
AUUGAACGCUGGCGGCAUGCUUUACACAUGCAAGUCGAACGGUAACAGGCCGCAAGGUGCUGACGAGUGGCGAACGGGUGAGUAAUGCAUCGGAACGUGCCCAGUCGUGGGGGAUAACUGCUCGAAAGAGCAGCUAAUACCGCAUACGAUCUAUGGAUGAAAGCGGGGGACCGUAAGGCCUCGCGCGAUUGGAGCGGCCGAUGUCAGAUUAGGUAGUUGGUGGGGUAAAGGCUCACCAAGCCAACAAUCUGUAGCUGGUCUGAGAGGACGACCAGCCACACUGGGACUGAGACACGGCCCAGACUCCUACGGGAGGCAGCAGUGGGGAAUUUUGGAAAAUGGGGGCAACCCUGAUCCAGCAAUGCCGCGUGCAGGAAGAAGGCCUUCGGGUUGUAAACUGCUUUCGUACGGAACGAAACGGUCUGGGUUAAUACCCUGGGCUAAUGACGGUACCGUAAGAAUAAGCACCGGCUAACUACGUGCCAGCCGCCGCGGUAAUAC